AGACGGAGGGGGCUAGCGUUGUCCGGAAUUACUGGGCGUAAAGCGCUCGUAGGCGGUCGCGUACGGCGGUGGUGAAAGCUCCCGGCUCAACUGGGAGAGGCCCGCCGCAACGGCGUGACUCGAGGGUGGUAGAGGCAAAUGGAAUUCCAGGUGUAGCGGUGAAAUGCGUAGAGAUCUGGAGGAACACCCGUGGCGAAGGCGGUUUGCUGGGCCAUGCCUGACGCUGAGGAGCGAAAGCUAGGGGAGCGAACGGGAUUAGAUACCCCGGUAGUCCUAGCCGUAAACGAUGGACACUAGGUGUCAGCGGUAUCGACCCCGCUGGUGCCGGAGCUAACGCGUGAAGUGUCCCGCCUGGGGAGUACGGCCGCAAGGUUGAA
rnacentral:rRNA from 1 species